CUUUUAAAAUUUGUAAAAUAUCUGGGUAAUUUUGGUAUCAAAUGAAAGCUGAAUGACUGUGGACCAUUGUAGAACCUUUGUGGAAUGAUUAUAUCAAAUAAUAAAAAAGUUUUAUGAAAUUGAAACAGGAGGGCAUUUAUUGCCUGAUUCUCAGAUCUGAAGUACCUGUUUUUGUACUUCCGAACUUCCGGGAACCAGUGCGGUCUUAUAUGCAAUUAAAGGUAUGAUGAUUUUUCCAGCAAGGGUAACCAGAAAGUAUUGUUUUGACAUGGAAUGAGUGUCACUUUAUUUGAACUUAAAACGAAAGAGCUGUGAAAGCUUGAAAUUAAGGAAUUUAACAUAGAAAGCAAUGGGACCAUUAAUUAGUGGUUUUAUUCCUAUUACAGGAAUCUGCACGUGCACCCUUGACAUUGAGAUUCAUGAGUACUUUUGGUGCUGUGAUUUUAACACCAAGCUCUUCAGUGAGCAGGAGAAGAGAAUUUGCAAAUCUAUGAUUUCUCAUGUGAACUGCAGCAUGUGCACGUCCUGGAAAAUUUCUGGAAAAAGUCACAUUCUUCGGAUUGCAACGACUUAGUGCACGAUUGAAUGCUUCACUUUUUUGUGUCGAGAAUUGAAAAGUGAUUCUACAUGUUUAGGAGUGUACAAUUUAUUGGGACAAGCAUCAGAAGAGUUAUUAGCAGCCUGAAGAUUCAUGAGUACUUUUGGUGCUGUGAUUUUAACACCAAGCUCUUCAGUGAGCAGGAGAAGAGAAUUUGCAAAUCUAUGAUUUCUCAUGUGAACUGCAGCAUGUGCACGUCCUGGAAAAUUUCUGGAAAAAGUCACAUUCUUCGGAUUGCAACGACUUAGUGCACGAUUGAAUGCUUCACUUUUUUGUGUCGAGAAUUGAAAAGUGAUUCUACAUGUUUAGGAGUGUACAAUUUAUUGGGACAAGCAUCAGAAGAGUUAUUAGCAGCCUGAAGGUACUUGUCAACUACAUCAAGAUUCUGGGGCUUUGGCCGAAGGAUGACCUGUUCGACAGGAGUUCCAUCAACAUUUUCAAUUGUCAAUAUACCAUUUGAACUUUGUCUUACUCUGCGGUCAAAGACACUUUGAGAAUGCCGACAAAACUGAUUUUUCUUAGAUAUUUUGAUAAAUUCAAUUUUUUUACCUUUAUUCCAAGGGACAUAACCCUUUUUGAAACCAUGAAUUUUUGACAACUUACUUCUUUUGCGAGUCAUUAUUCCCCUUAAAACUGCUUGAACUGACUUCUUCUGCUUGUCAAAUUGUAGUCAAACUAUUACUCUCCAAUAAAAACCAUUAGAAUAUGUACAAUAUUUUAUUUUUUAACAAUUAUAGCCUUAAAUUAGACCCCUACCUCUGUUCUGAUACAUGGUUUAGAAUUUAUACCUGCUGAGGCAAAUACAUCCUGAGAGCUGAUUAUUAAUUGGAUUUAAAGUGACAUAUGGUAGUUUAAUCUCAAGAUAAAUUAUUCUUUCCAUUUAACAACUUUUUAUUUAAACAAAAAUAGUUGAUUGGCAAUAAAAUUGGCAUAAGAUCUGGAACUUUAACAUUUUUUAACAAAAAUUUCAAAUUAAAAUCAAUUUAAUUUAAAUUUAAAUGAUAUAUUUUUAGAAUUUUAUUGGCUAGUUUGAUGAGGUAAGGCAUACGGUGAGCUAAUAAUGAGAAAAAAUUACACUUUAAACCUUUUUAGACAUUCAAUUUUGAUGAUCAAUGUGUCUGGUGAACUACCCAA